CUGGGGCUUCCAGGGGAACAUUUCCCUUUUGAAAAUGUCAGUCAGGAAACAUGUAGCUCACAUUUCCACUUUCCAGCACCCUAUGAUCACACUCAAAAAGAAUCAGCCUUAGGAUGAAGCUGACCUUCUGGAUGGCAGAAGGAAGAGGAAAGAACCUGGAUUGUAUAUGACGUAGUUGGUUGACUAGAUCACACAACGCUGAAACCCACCCUGCACCUGGAUUUCCAGUUCUGUGAGACCGGGAAACCAGCUGCCAUGUCGUAAAGACGCUUAGAUGACCUUCUGGAGAGACCUGUUUAGUGAGGAACUGAGGCUUCCUGCCAAUGGCCAUGUGAGUGAGAGUUUGGAAUGGGAUCUUCCAGGCCUGCCCAGGAUCACUGCAGCCUCAUGAGAAGCCCUGAGGGAGGACCACCCAGGCAAGCCGCGCCCAGAUUCUCGACUCUCAGAAAUUGCAUGCCUUGCUGUCUCUCUGGCUCAGCCUUCCCACCAUCACUAAAGCUGCCAGUUAACCAGUCUUUGAGUGUGGCUUCAGGAAGACAGAGCUACGUGUUGGACUGCUUCUUUGUGGAGCCCACUGCUUCUCCAUGUAACGUUUCAGCACUCUGCAGAGAGCACUUACAGCGCCCUGGAGCAGCUGUCCGAAACCGCGUUCGCUCUGGCGGCGGAAGCCGGUUCCAGCUCUUCUCCAUUCCAUUCGCUUCCUGAGACCAGAGAUCUGGUCUCCAGCCACUGGUUCUCUUCCAGGCUUAGAAAUCAACUUCCCGGGAGUGGAAGAAGAGACUGUCUCUUAGCUUUAAUUAAUUGUUGAAAGAAUAGAGAGGAGUCUAUAGUUCUAGAAGGAAAAAAGGGAGGAAUGGAAAUUUUCUGGACAGGGGACAAAGAAGUAAAAGAAAGAUAAUUUUCCAACUCACUCUCUUCACCCUAGUCUUUAAAAGGUUUUGUUGGGUGUUAUGAGGUUUGAAAUCUAUCUUUAGGGAGGGAUGUGUUACUCAAAAGAAAUUGCCUCUAGAUUGUUUUCCCAAGUCAGUCAUUUAAAAAAUAUUUUAAUGUCAUUCUGCUUAAAUUUUUUAAACAGUGAAGUUUACCUGCAAAGUACUUCUCAACUCAGGGUAGGAUAGGGGUAAAUUUGAGGUAGUAAGUGUGUUAGAAUCUUGAGGUAGGUUUCCUUUGAAAAAAACAAGUAGGUAUCAUUUUUAUUGGGAAAAUGAAAAAAUGCGUAAGUUUUCACAUUACAAACUGAGGAGAGUUUGAAAAAAAAUCUGAUGAGGUUAUGCAGAAGACACAGGGAUUCAUGAUUGGGACACAUCCCUUCAAAACCUUGGAGGAACAGGAGAUUUUCCUGGUUAUCAAAUAGGGGGAUGAGUUUUAGAAGGCUGAAAAGCAUUUAGAAGAAUGUUGCGUUUCCUAAAAAGGCAGAAUGAGGAAGCUGGUAGACGAUUCCAGAACAUUCUGUGGGUCUCAUGAAGAGAAGAUUCAGGGAAGGGCAGGCAGCAAGUCCAAGGUCAGGAAAGAUGAGAGACACAAAAUGGACCUGUAACUGCAAAGGUUCCAUUGUCUUCUGAGUUUCUGUUUAUAAUUUUGCAGUGAGUAAUUUUAAGAAGGAAAAAAUCCCCAUAGAACUGAACACAUGCAGAUGAAAACUUAUGAAUGGCAAAAAGAUAUCAAAACAAAAUCAAAUAACACAUGUAUCAAAGGAAUGAUUUCCUUAGUAGAAAACAUUUUUAAAAUUAUAUAUAAUUUUGAUAUUUUUGUUCAUCAAAAGAUGAACAACCCCAAAGAAAAAAUGGGCAAAGAAUGUUAUUAGCAGGAUGUUCAAAGAAAAAAUAAAUACACAUGGUCAACAACUAUAGGAAACAUGCUUAUAAGAUUUACUUUUCACCCAUCAGAUUAGCUAAGGUUAAAAAUGUUCAUUGACCCAGGGUUGUCAAGAAUGUGGGGUGCUCUCACCCGCUGUAGGUGGGAGAGUGAGUUACCAGAUUUCUUGAAAGACAAACAGCAAUGUCUUAGUAAAUAUGCAUAUCUUUUAACCCAGUUAAAUUCUAUGGAUCAAGGCAAAACAUUUGCGUAUGUGAGCAAAGCAUGUGUACGAGGCUAUUUCACUGCAGCUUUUUGAUUAUGAAAAAGUGGAAACUACUAAAUGUGCAUCAAUA
ensembl:lncRNA